CAGUCACUCUGUUUCAAAGGAAAGAAAAAUGAGUACCAAAAAAAAGAACAAAGACUAUGUACCUUUGAUGUAUUAGAUCAAAUUUAAUUUUAUGCAUCUUGAGCCACACUUUGUCUGCAUAGCUCCUUCCUAUAUAGUGGAAAACAGGCAUUCCUAUGUUCCAUUACAAUUAUUACAACACCAGUGAAUACAGCAUCAGUCUCCAAUGGCAGUCCUUCUCAAACUCUUCUGUAGGUAAAGGUGGAACCAUCAUUGUGGAUACCCCACUUGGACAUACUCUAUCUGAACAAGAGUGCAGCAGUACCAGGAGCAGUACCAGGAGCAGUACAGAACAUCCCAUCUACCACAGAAACGAGCUCAAACACCUGGUUUCAACAUACCUUCUUUAUGGGAAUAGUAGAGCUGAGGCCCUUCUAUCCAGCAUACUAUGGUUGUGUAACCAUGAUGCAGCCUAUACAAUACACCGAUUCCACCUUUAAGAUAGUCAAUGAUUAAAUUACAACUAGAUGCUAUUGCAACAGAAAAAGCACCAUGACCACCAGAAGAAAAACACUCAAAAAAAAAAAAAAAAAAAGAGUUCUUUCGAAAAGUAAACCCUGAAUUCCUUCAUUGCUUGAUAAUUGCAUUGUUUGAAUACAGAACCAUAGGAUUAUCAAAGACCUCAAGAAAUCAUCUAGUCCAUGCCCUUGUCUCUGCCUGACAGGUGUUAAGUCUCAAAAAGCUUCCAGCUGCUGGCACUCCACAACUGCUCUAAACAGUCCAUUCCAGUGCUUAAUUAUCCUCUAGAUUAGAAAACCGUAGGUUUCUCUUAUGACAAUAAAAGACCAUUGCUGAGUGUGCUAUCAUCCAUGGAUACCAAGAAAGACUCUUUCUGUCUUUUCUCUAGAACAGCCUUUUUAUACAUUAGAAGGUGCAUUUCUUUUCUUCCGGUCUUCCUUUGUGUAGGCUAAAGAAACACAAACAAUUGAACUGCUGGGUCUAGGCUUUUUAAGUUUUUCUUCUCUGGACUUGUGAUUUUUCUGUCUUGAAAGGCAAAACUUUAAACUGGAUGUAAUACAGCAAGUGGAACAGAAGGAUUAGUUCAUGUGUCAGUGGACAAUACUCCUUUCUCUACACACUGGUAUGGUGUUUGUUGCAACAAAAUACUGUUGACAUACAAUGCACUACAUCCUCUUCUACAGAUGUCCUAGCUGGAUAGUUAUCCCCAGAUCUUUAUGCAACUGAUUAUUUCUGCCUAAGUACAGCACUCUACACACUACUAAAGAAAUUUCUUUAAAACUACAUCUCUUCAUUUUAUAAAGAAACUCUGAAUUCUCAUCUUGUCUUCUAACAUACUCAGUCCUUCCCAGCCUGCUAUCUACCAACUUAGGAAGUAAAAUCUAUUCCAUCAGAAGGCCUUUAAUACAAUUUUAAAAUGUAUUAAAUGUAUUUAAAAUACCAGAUGCAGAGCCACUCAAGAGUCCUAUUCAAUCUAUCUUUCAUCUUGAAUGCUAACCAGUAAAGCUUACUCUCUGAAUAAGGCUUUCAAAACAGGUAUGCACUUACUGUGCAGUUUGUUCAUAUAAAUAUGCUGAUGAGAAUGUUAUGAGGGACAGCAUCAGAAACCUUACUGAAGAUAAUGUAUAAUAUUAGUGCUUCUCCUCUAUCCGCAACGCUUGUUACACUGCUACAGGAGUAAAUUGGAUAGAUUUGAUAGAAUUUGGUCUUAAGAUACCAUGUUAGCUAUUACUCACCUUUUUAUGUACAAUGGUUUUAGCUCUGUUAAAACAGUCUAUGGUAAUCAAAGAACUCAAAUAUAAUUAUAAACCACGUCUGGUUCGAAUAAGUCUCAAGACUUCAAGUGACUUCCUAUUCCACCUCAGAGAAUAAUUUGUUCAUUUAAAUUAAUGGAGAUAGACUCUUUCCUCCUCCGCUGCAUCGCCCUCCUUUAUUGGAGUUGGUGCCAUCCUGUCUGCCAGAGGUAGUGAUAAAGGAACAAUUUAGAAUGAAGUAGCAAGGGCUGUGUGUUGAACUGGUGAAGUACAGGGAUAGGGUGAAAAUAGUACAAGUGCAAAAAUGAAAAAUACAUUUCAUUUUAUAAAAAAAUGAAUUUGGAAUUAUUUAAAGUGCCAUUGCCAACCUUUGACUAAUGAAAAUGCAUUUCAUUAAUCUCUCCUUUUCAGAUUGUCAUCAGCUUUUUCAUUAAAUUGGCAUACUGCAAGCGCACCAUCACUGCCAGUACUUGAAUUGUGCAAUGUAUUUAUAAACAGUGCAACUAUUUUAUAAAUAAAGCAACUUCAUUUAUAAAAUAAAUUUUAUUUUGCCUGUCACUAUUUAAAAAACCCAAACUCACAUAAGUCAUUAGUAUGGUAUUAUGGACUUAAACAAAGGAAGGCAAAUUGGAAUGAAGGUAGCUUCUGGGCAUAAUUCCUGUAAUUCCUUAUUGCAGGAUAAUUGAAUAAAUGAAAAUGUGUGUCUGAAAAAAAAAUACUAUUUGUAAAACUAUCUGUAAAACCAGACUAUUAAAAUAACUGCUUAUGUUUUUCAGAAUGCAGGACAGUACUUCACUGGUAACAAAUGCAUCAUUUGUUGCGAUAAUUCCUAUCAUAAUAUUUAAGUACUCUUCUUACACAGUGAUCUCCCUGAAGAAUGCCUUAGCAUUGUUGUAAGGAGAUAAAAUUCCCAAGUCUGCCCAGCAGAUGACAGGGGGCACAAAGGAACUAAUUACAGCUUCCUGAUCCUAGAGGGCUGACUUACAGUCUAACCCUUAGGGUCUUUAGGAGAGGCUACAGUUUUCUCUGAAAUACUCAGCUGGUAAUGCUCUCUGCUUUCCCAAGCAAUCAGCUUGCUACUCAAGGAACGACAGAGUGUAAAUAGUUAUGAUUUGCUUCUGUUAACUACUUACAAGGUUAGAGAAGAACCACAGCAGUCAGCUCAGCGCUGCUCUGCUACUACACACAGUGAAAAUCUCUCUGAUCUCCCUGCACUUCCAGAACUUGGUUAUGCUAUACAUUGAAGAUGUUCCAGAAGCUAGUAUGUUGCUCUUUCACAGAUAUUUUUAAUAUACAUCAAAAUGUUCUUCUUACUAUCCUAGACUUGUGAGCUGCUCAAAAAACUUAACAUAUGUGUUUGAAAACUCAAGUCUUAAAUACUGCUCAUACUACACAUUUUUUCUGAUGCACAGUUGUCAUAGCAAGCACUGUUUUACACAUCAUAGCAAUUUUCACUUAGUCCUCUAGACUCAAUUUUCACUUCCACAACAUAUCAUCUAUAACUCUCCACCUCUGACCUUUUACUCUGUGCUCUGUCAUGAGUUUGCACCUGUUUCUCAGUAUGUUCUCUUGGAUGCUUUCCCACCAUUUCAAGUUCUGCAUGUUCCUAGCUAAGCGUAAUCUAUUUCUGUUUUCUGUUUCUCACUUCUCUAUUGAUAACAGGUCCUUUACUGGACAAGAAUUAUGCUAUAUUUUAUAUCAUUAGAACACUAAUGAAAUUGAUGUUUUUCUCUCCCACCCUUAGGUUUUCCAGAUCUAGAUACUCUGUGUUCAGUUAUUUCACCAAGUUCUGUUUGCGCCCAUAAAGUACUGAUACACAUCUGCCAUCUCUUAAAAGUAUUCUUUGGAGAAUAAUGUAUUAUAUGGCUUUUUUUCAAUUUAUUCAGAAUUUUGAAGGGAGGAAUCUUACAUCAGCUGUCAAGAUGCCAAUAACAAGUGACCUAGUGGACAUCUCAAUUUAUAAUCUUUGCACCAGACGACCACCAGUUUGGCAGUGAAAAAUAUAAAGAAGUUUUUAUCCAUCCCCCCCAAAAGCCGUUGCUACACUAAAAUAAGAUCACUGGUUGAUAACGUAUUCCAUAACAAAGCUAAAAACCAGAUUUAACAAAAAGUAACAAUCAUAGACAAUUCAAAUUAUGACUGGGUUUUAAAUUGGGCUUUCAUAAAUUUAGGCCUAUUGUUUUUCUCAGAAUUCAGCUUUAUAUCUUAUUCCCCAAAGUGCCUGCACACACUCUAGUCUUUACUACCUUGAAUAAUGCCAUUUCUUCAACAAGACUAUUUGUUGACUCCAGUAAUAAGCAGAUGAUCAAGUGUUUAUGCCAAGUUAAGGUACAUACUACAUACAUAUCUUGCAAGUUAUCAAUUGUUAGUUUUAUAUAUAUAUUAAAAAACCAAACCAAACACUUUCUGAAAGUAUUCUAAUACACAUUUUACAACACAGCAUCUGCAUCUAAAGCAUCAGCAAAGAUAGAUGCAAAAUGCAUACGCAGUUUAAGUACACAUAGGCAUAUAACAAGAAGUGAAGUUAAAUGUAACAGGAUUUGGGUGCCUGCAUUUCUCUGUUUCAACAAAUAUCACUGUACAUUGUUUAAGACAUGGUUUUUCAGAGGGGAUUCAGCAAUAUCUGCCAAAGAUGGCCCUGGCCUGAACUCCUAGAGUUACAUACGUUAAAAAUUUGGAGAACUCACAUGCAUUUCAUGCCAACCUUUUGCGCUCUAACAAAGUGAACCAAAAUACCAAGAUGAAAACCUCUGUUUUUCUUGACUUGUCUUGAUCACCGAGAGAACUCAUAUAGCGAGACAUCAUCAACUGAAAACUAACCAAAUGCAGUGAAAAAAAGGACUGCAGGUAUCACACUUAACUCAAAGCUUUUCUCCAACUUUUUAGAGAAUUUAUCCUUCAUACAGAAGUAUCUAAAAGAAUUGAUAAGAUUUCUGCGGACAACUAAACAGUCAAUUUUACAGCAGUACUAUGGCAUGCGGUAGUCCGUAGGAAAUGCUGGAGGGUGGCAGAGGUUUGCUGACCAAGAAGUGCAGCACUGGAUCCUGCAAGACACUAACCGCCACUGUCCACCGAUAUUAGAAUAAAUGAGGCUGCCAAGUACUUGCGUUUAUCAGCCUGGUGUGGCAUCAGGGUCAGGGGCUUCUUUUGCUUUUACUGGAAUUACAGAGCAUGAUGACUUAGAACAUAAAUGCCCUAGAGAUUCACAUUUCACUACAACAGGCUUUGGCACACUUUGUACUUUGCACCACACAUACCCAGCUCAGGUGUGCAACUUUUUCUCUGUGGUCUCUUCCCCCGCCCCCCCCCCCUCAAAUUUGCAGUUCAGUUUUCUCUUUUGUACCAACCCAGGGAAAAACAAGGGCUCAAUCUAGCUUUUCUGGUUAACGCAAGCCUCUGAAGUGGCCUUUCCCGUCCUAAAGCUUAUAUGAUAUUAUUUCCUCAGCAAUAUGAAGCUCUAAAAUGUAAAAUUGUCAUAAUAGUCAACUACCAAACUGAAAAGAGAAAUCCUACUGUAAACAACAGCUUGUUUUAUACUCUUAAUGACAGACUGUCCAUAAUCUCUUCACACAGGAUUAAGGAAGGAUUAAAGCAGGGGACAAAUAAAGGACAAAAUACAAUAGCUUGAAGGAAUCUAGUAAUUUGUGGAAAUUUAGAGAAGCUGAACAAGUACUAAAUAAUUUAAGCAAAUUUUCACUUUUACUAUAUUAUUGGUGUUUUAUUUUAAGCACUAGCAACAACUUUAAAUUAUUUUAGAUGCCUGAAUUAUGUUUCAAAAUGUAAUGAAUAACAACAAAUCAUCUGCAUUUCUGCUGUACAAGUAUUAUGCAUUACCAAAAGUUUUACAUUUGCAUGCUAAAUAGGCUACUCUCAAAUUAAAAUACAAACUAGGAUAUAUGACCUGAUAAAGACCUCCCACACAGAUAAGCAAAACACAGCCCAAUUUCACCAACCUGUUUACAGUAACUGCUGAAAUCACCAAAACCGUUCACAGAGCAUGGCACUACUCUCAAUGAUCCAAACUGGCAGUAUUGCACAGUACAGAAUGUAUGCCGAUACAAAUUUUAACAGUUGAAAAACCCCACAGCCACAAACCAACAAACAAAUUGUUGCUACAAGAACCUGCUUUGUAGUGACUGUAUGUUACUAAAGCUGACAGUAAUCAGGUCCAUGACAGGUGGAUCCAGUUCUCGAGAUUAACUACAAAUCCAUUACUCUAAUCAAAGACCAGUGGUUAUUUAAAAGCAUGACUGCUCAGCUGCAAGCAAGAAGUUAACAACACGGCAAUAAAUAUUUGUACUUUCAAAUA